AAACCAUGAUGAGGGCAUCGUCUUUGUAGACUCUUGAACCUAUCCCAUGCUUUAAAUAACGAUUCUCCAUAUGCCUGAGUAAAAAUUGUGAUGCAACUCCUCAUGU